AGCCCAGAGCCUGAAUCAGUGUGUGUGUUAGUGGAAGCGUCUGGAAAGGCGCGCGAUACAGGGUGACAGCCCCGUACACAAAAAUGCACAUAUUGUGAGCUCGAUGAGUAGGGCGGGACACGUGGUAUCCUGUCUGAAUAUGGGGGGACCAUCCUCCAAGGCUAAAUACUCCUGACUGACCGAUAGUGAACCAGUACCGUGAGGGAAAGGCGAAAAGAACCCCGGCGAGGGGAGUGAAAAAGAACCUGAAACCGUGUACGUACAAGCAGUGGGAGCACGCUUAGGCGUGUGACUGCGUACCUUUUGUAUAAUGGGUCAGCGACUUAUAUUCUGUAGCAAGGUUAACCGAAUAGGGGAGCCGAAGGGAAACCGAGUCUUAACUGGGCGUUAAGUUGCAGGGUAUAGACCCGAAACCCGGUGAUCUAGCCAUGGGCAGGUUGAAGGUUGGGUAACACUAACUGGAGGACCGAACCGACUAAUGUUGAAAAAUUAGCGGAUGACUUGUGGCUGGGGGUGAAAGGCCAAUCAAACCGGGAGAUAGCUGGUUCUCCCCGAAAGCUAUUUA
rnacentral:rRNA from 1 species